rnacentral:rRNA from 1 species
AGAAUCAACGCUGGCGGCGUGCCUAACACAUGCAAGUCGCACGAGAAAGGGGACUUCGGUCCCUGAGUACAGUGGCGCACGGGUGAGUAACACGUGAAUCAUCUACCUUCGAGUGGGGAAUAACUGAGAGAAAUCUUAGCUAAUACCGCAUAACACUUACGAGUCAAAGCAGCAAUGCGCUUGGAGAGGAGUUCGCGGCCGAUUAGUUAGUUGGCGGGGUAAUGGCCCACCAAGACGAUGAUCGGUA